GCGGGCAUAGCUCAGUUGGUAGAGCGUCGGCGUCCCAAGCCGAAGGCCGCGGGUUCGAUUCCCGUUGCCCGCUCCA
rnacentral:tRNA from 1 species